rnacentral:rRNA from 1 species
CCUACGGGUGGCAGCAGUGGGGAAUAUUGCGCAAUGGGCGAAAGCCUGACGCAGCGACGCCGCGUGAGGGAUGAAGGUCCUCGGAUCGUAAACCUCUUUCAGCAGGGAAGAACGGUCACUGUGCUAAUCAGCAGUGAAUUGACGGUACCUGCAAAGGAAGCACCGGCGAACUCCGUGCCAGCAGCCGCGGUAAUGCGGAGGGUGCGAGCGUUAAUCGGAAUUGCUGGGCGUAAAGCGCGCGUAGGCGGUAUGUCAAGUCAAGGGUGAAAUCCCCGCGCGCAACGUGGGAACUGCCUUUGAAACUGGCAAACUGGAGUGUGUGAGAGGAUAGUGGAAUUCCAGGUGUAGGAGUGAAAUCCGUAGAUAUCUGGAGGAACAUCAGUGGCGAAGGCGACUAUCUGGCACAUAACUGACGCUGAGGAGCGAAAGCGUGGGUAGCAAACAGGAUUAGAUACCCUUGUAGUC